UCUUCUUUGACGAUGUUGUCGGCGAGGAAACCCGUGAACUUAAGCAUAU
rnacentral:rRNA from 1 species